GAUGAACGCUAGCGAUAGGCUUAACACAUGCAAGUCGAGGGGCAUCACGAAUUAGCAAUAGUUUGGUGGCGACCGGCGCACGGGUGCGUAACACGUAUACAACCUACCUUCAAUUGGGGAAUAACCUGGAGAAAUUUGGACUAAUACCCCAUAGUAAACGGAAGAGGCAUCUUUUUUGUUUUAAAGAUUUAUUGAUUGGAGAUGGGUAUGCGUAGGAUUAGCUAGUUGGUAAGGUAACGGCUUACCAAGGCGACGAUCCUUAGGGGUUCUGAGAGGAAGGUCCCCCACACUGGUACUGAGACACGGACCAGACUCCUACGGGAGGCAGCAGUGAGGAAUAUUGGUCAAUGGUCGAGAGACUGAACCAGCCAAGUCGCGUGAAGGAAGACGGCUCUAUGAGUUGUAAACUUCUUUUGUACAGGAGUAAAGUGAGACACGUGUGUUUUAUUGCAAGUACUGUACGAAUAAGCA
rnacentral:rRNA from 1 species